rnacentral:rRNA from 1 species
GGGUUGUGAGGUUAAGCGACUAAGCGUACACGGUGGAUGCCCUGGCAGUCAGAGGCGAUGAAGGGCGUGCUAAUCUGCGAUAAGCGCCGGUAAGGUGAUAUGAACCGUUAUAACCGGCGAUACCCGAAUGGGGAAACCCAGUGUGACUCGUCACACUAUCAUUAACUGAAUCCAUAGGUUAAUGAGGCGAACCGGGGGAACUGAAACAUCUAAGUACCCGAGGAAAAGAAAUCAACCGAGAUUCCCCCAGUAGCGGCGAGCGAACGGGGAGGAGCCCAGAGCCUGAAUCAGCAUGUGUGUUAGUGGAAGCGUCUGGAAAGGCGCGCGAUACAGGGUGACAGCCCCGUACACAAAAGCGCAUGUGCUGUGAGCUCGAUGAGUAGGGCGGGACACGUGGUAUCCUGUCUGAAUAUGGGGGGACCAUCCUCCAAGGCUAAAUACUCCUGACUGACCGAUAGUGAACCAGUACCGUGAGGGAAAGGCGAAAAGAACCCCGGCGAGGGAGUGAAAAAGAACCUGAAACCGUGUACGUACAAGCAGUGGGAGCACAGGUUUACCUGUGUGACUGCGUACCUUUUGUAUAAUGGGUCAGCGACUUAUAUUCUGUAGCAAGGUUAACCGAAUAGGGGAGCCGGAGGGAAACCGAGUCUUAAUUGGGCGUUAAGUUGCAGGGUAUAGACCCGAAACCCGGUGAUCUAGCCAUGGGCAGGUUGAAGGUUGGGUAACACUAACUGGAGGACCGAACCGACUAAUGUUGAAAAAUUAGCGGAUGACCUGUGGCUGGGGGUGAAAGGCCAAUCAAACCGGGAGAUAGCUGGUUCUCCCCGAAAGCUAUUUAGGUAGCGCCUCGUGAAUUCAUCUCCGGGGGUAGAGCACUGUUUCGGCUAGGGGGCAUCCCGGCUUACCAACCCGAUGCAAACUGCGAAUACCGGAGAAUGUUAUCACGGGAGACACACGGCGGGUGCUAACGUCCGUCGUGAAGAGGGAAACAACCCAGACCGCCAGCUAAGGUCCCAAAGUCAUGGUUAAGUGGGAAACGAUGUGGGAAGGCCCAGACAGCCAGGAUGUUGGCUUAGAAGCAGCCAUCAUUUAAAGAAAGCGUAAUAGCUCACUGGUCGAGUCGGCCUGCGCGGAAGAUGUAACGGGCUAAACCAUGCACCGAAGCUGCGGCAGCGACGCUUAUGCGUUGUUGGGUAGGGGAGCGUUCUGUAAGCCUGUGAAGGUGGCCUGUGAGGGUUGCUGGAGGUAUCAGAAGUGCGAAUGCUGACAUAAGUAACGAUAAAGCGGGUGAAAAGCCCGCUCGCCGGAAGACCAAGGGUUCCUGUCCAACGUUAAUCGGGGCAGGGUGAGUCGACCCCUAAGGCGAGGCCGAAAGGCGUAGUCGAUGGGAAACAGGUUAAUAUUCCUGUACUUGGUGUUACUGCGAAGGGGGGACGGAGAAGGCUAUGUUGGCCGGGCGACGGUUGUCCCGGUUUAAGCGUGUAGGUGUGUGUUCCAGGUAAAUCCGGUUCACUUUAACACUGAGGCGUGAUGACGAGGCACUACGGUGCUGAAGCAACAAAUGCCCUGCUUCCAGGAAAAGCCUCUAAGCAUCAGGUAACAUCAAAUCGUACCCCAAACCGACACAGGUGGUCAGGUAGAGAAUACCAAGGCGCUUGAGAGAACUCGGGUGAAGGAACUAGGCAAAAUGGUGCCGUAACUUCGGGAGAAGGCACGCUGACACGUAGGUGAAGUGAUUUACUCAUGGAGCUGAAGUCAGUCGAAGAUACCAGCUGGCUGCAACUGUUUAUUAAAAACACAGCACUGUGCAAACACGAAAGUGGACGUAUACGGUGUGACGCCUGCCCGGUGCCGGAAGGUUAAUUGAUGGGGUCAGCGCAAGCGAAGCUCCUGAUCGAAGCCCCGGUAAACGGCGGCCGUAACUAUAACGGUCCUAAGGUAGCGAAAUUCCUUGUCGGGUAAGUUCCGACCUGCACGAAUGGCGUAAUGAUGGCCAGGCUGUCUCCACCCGAGACUCAGUGAAAUUGAACUCGCUGUGAAGAUGCAGUGUACCCGCGGCAAGACGGAAAGACCCCGUGAACCUUUACUAUAGCUUGACACUGAACAUUGAGCCUUGAUGUGUAGGAUAGGUGGGAGGCUUUGAAGCGUGGACGCCAGUCUGCGUGGAGCCGACCUUGAAAUACCACCCUUUAAUGUUUGAUGUUCUAACGUGGACCCGUAAUCCGGGUUGCGGACAGUGUCUGGUGGGUAGUUUGACUGGGGCGGUCUCCUCCUAAAGAGUAACGGAGGAGCACGAAGGUUGGCUAAUCCUGGUCGGACAUCAGGAGGUUAGUGCAAUGGCAUAAGCCAGCUUGACUGCGAGCGUGACGGCGCGAGCAGGUGCGAAAGCAGGUCAUAGUGAUCCGGUGGUUCUGAAUGGAAGGGCCAUCGCUCAACGGAUAAAAGGUACUCCGGGGAUAACAGGCUGAUACCGCCCAAGAGUUCAUAUCGACGGCGGUGUUUGGCACCUCGAUGUCGGCUCAUCACAUCCUGGGGCUGAAGUAGGUCCCAAGGGUAUGGCUGUUCGCCAUUUAAAGUGGUACGCGAGCUGGGUUUAGAACGUCGUGAGACAGUUCGGUCCCUAUCUGCCGUGGGCGCUGGAGAACUGAGGGGGGCUGCUCCUAGUACGAGAGGACCGGAGUGGACGCAUCACUGGUGUUCGGGUUGUCAUGCCAAUGGCACUGCCCGGUAGCUAAAUGCGGAAGAGAUAAGUGCUGAAAGCAUCUAAGCACGAAACUUGCCCCGAGAUGAGUUCUCCCUGAGACUUUAAGUCUCCUGAAGGAACGUUGAAGACGACGACGUUGAUAGGCCGGUGUGUAAGCGCAGCGAUGCGUUGAGCUAACCGGUACUAAUGAACCGUGAGGCUUAACCUUACAACGCCGAAG